AUUAAACGCUGGCGGAAUGCUUUACACAUGCAAGUCGAACGGCAGCACGGGGGCAACCCUGGUGGCGAGUGGCGAACGGGUGAGUAAUACAUCGGAACGUGCCCAGUCGUGGGGGAUAACGUAGCGAAAGCUACGCUAAUACCGCAUACGAUCUACGGAUGAAAGCGGGGGAUCGCAAGACCUCGCGCGAUUGGAGCGGCCGAUGGCAGAUUAGGUAGUUGGUGGGGUAAAGGCUCACCAAGCCGACGAUCUGUAGCUGGUCUGAGAGGACGACCAGCCACACUGGGACUGAGACACGGCCCAGACUCCUACGGGAGGCAGCAGUGGGGAAUUUUGGACAAUGGGCGCAAGCCUGAUCCAGCCAUUCCGCGUGCAGGAUGAAGGCCUUCGGUUGUAACUGCUUUGUACGGAACGAAACGGCCUUUCUAAUACAAGAGGCUAAUGACGGUACCGUAAGAAUAAGCACCGGCUAACUACGUGCCAGCAGCCGCGGUAAU
rnacentral:rRNA from 1 species